rnacentral:misc_RNA from 1 species
GAAAUGCGAUAAGUAAUGUGAAUUGCAGAAUUCAGUGAAUCAUCGAAUCUUUGAACGCACAUUGCACCCCUUGGUAUUCCGGGGGGUAUGCCUGUUCGAGCGUCAUAGCAACUAUCAAGCCUGGCUUGGUCUUGGAUGUUGCCUGUGGGCGCGUCUCAAAGCGAGUGGCGGUGCCGCCCAGUCCCCAAGCGCAGUAAGUUUCUCGCUCUGGGAGGUGGGUGCUGUGCCUGCAGAACCCUCAUUCUUAAAUUUUGACCUCGGAUCAGGUAGGGAUACCCGCUGAACUUAA